CCGCCGUAGUCUGGCCGUGCGCCUGCACACCCGCUCCCCUCCGCGUUGCACACGCCUGCCCCCGGGCGCCGCGGAGCCCUCGCGGGUGGGGAGAGGUGAGGGAACAGCUCUGUCGUGGGUGCCCUUUGCUCCCGGCCGCAGCCGUCUAGAACGCCUGAAGCCCCUAGCGGAGAAGAGAGACGGCUGGGGAGUGGGGGGAGGCAGAGCAGGACUUGGUGAGCUCCAACCCCUAACCCCCCGCCCCCAUUAUUAAUUCUUUCUCGGGGUAGUAGGAGGGGAAGCACCAGUAGGAUGGCCUGUGGACACAGGGCUUUCAGUGGGCCCUCUUAGAAACUUGAGUGGCUCUGUGGCCGCUGAAGGCCUCCAAACUGUGAGACUUGGCAGAGUAACUAGGUGUGAGCACCGGGCGGAGCGGUGCUGGGUGAAGGUGGGAGGGCCCAUUCCUAAGGCCAAAUGCACUGGGAAGGCAAACGGGGGAGUUGGAGAAACUAGCUGAAUGCCGUAGGGACUGGUGUUCUACCUCGUGGAACUGCUGGAAGAAUCAGAUGAGAUACUUUGUGUCAUUAACAUCUUCGUCUUACAGCUGAGGAAUCUGGGGCACACAGAAGAAAAGCAUCGCCAUCCCCUGGGCUAAGAGGAUGGUGGGACCACAUCACAGAAGGACCUGAGUCCCCGAUUGACUAUGUGGAGUGGAACUGUCCAGCCCUGUAUCCCGCCAACCUGAACUGACCUGUAAAGGAAGUCAGAAACAAAUUUUCAUUCUGUUAAUGCAUUAAACCUUCAGGUUAUUUGUCCCAGUAGUUGGCCUAUCCUCAUUAAUGCAAGAGAGACGUAAACACGCGGACUAUCCUGGGUAGCAGUGGAGUGGUUCUUCUUCCCCUGACCCGGCAGUGUGGGAGUUGUUGGAGAGCUCUCUUACUGGCUUCCAGUGCCUUUUAAAAAUUACUGAUGAGUGUGAGAAACACUCUAGGAUCUCAAGUCAGCAACAUGCUCCAGAAAAUAACGCUCAUGAUGGCGGCUGAGUUGCGAGUGAUUUAACUGAAUAAAUAAACAGUAUAGGAAAAAGAGAUCCCAGUGAUUACUGGGGCGUGUACUCAGUUAGGGGUCAGGUGGGGGAGGUCAAACUGGAACAAUCUGGAAAGCUCUUCUAUGCGUCCUGCCCCUCCAGAGCUAGAAGAAUGGAAGCUAAAGCAGAUACUGAUUCGAUGGCACCUUCUUUCUUCUAACAGCAGUGUGUGUGAUGUCCUUCUCUUUCUUCAGUGAAAAACUCUAGGGGAAAGGGAACUCAGAAUGAGAUCAAGAUAAACUUUCCCAGGAUCUCUGCAUUGCUGAAAGUGACCGUGGCGUCUCCGUGGGAAUCUGAAUGAAGGCGAGGGCCAUCCACAGUGUAUCUGUAUCUUUGGACUGUGUUUUGUUUAGACGGGGAACAAUCUAGUCCGUGAUCUAUACAUUCACCCCCAGUGGCCAUUUGGGUUCCUUGCCCCACUGCCUUCCUGGGGGAGAAUGAAGAUAUUUAUCCUCCCACAGGUUUUGUUUCUUUGCUUUAACAGAACACACUGAUCUUGAAACAAUAAAGCCAGUUACAGAUUAACUGAUCCCAGAGUCUCAGUUUCAUGGAACCAUCAAAGUCCAAGUUGGAUAGCUCUGGCUAAGAUUAUUUAUGAGGUCCUACCCAAAUGUAUUCUAUGCAAGUUGCAAGCUAAGUCAGCUGACAACACUGCGUCUUUCCUCCUGCUCCCCUAUCCAGCUAGACUGAGGAUUGCAAACUGGCAUCAGCAGC